rnacentral:rRNA from 1 species
GACGAACGCUGGCGGCGUGCUUAACACAUGCAAGUCGAACGGAAAGGCCCUGCUUUUGUGGGGUGCUCGAGUGGCGAACGGGUGAGUAACACGUGAGUAACCUGCCCUUGACUUUGGGAUAACUUCAGGAAACUGGGGCUAAUACCGGAUAGGAGCUCCUGCUGCAUGGUGGGGGUUGGAAAUUCUCGGCGGUUGGGGAUGGACUCGCGGCUUAUCAGCUUGUUGGUGGGGUAGUGGCUUACCAAGGCUUUGACGGGUAGCCGGCCUGAGAGGGUGACCGGCCACAUUGGGACUGAGAUACGGCGCAGACUCCUACGGGAGGCAGCAGUGGGGAAUAUUGCACAAUGGGAGGAAGCCUGAUGCAGCAACGCCGCGUGCGGGAUGACGGCCUUCGGGUUGUAAACCGCUUUCGCCUGUGACGAAGCGUGAGUGACGGUAAUGGGUAAAGAAGCACCGGCUAACUACGUG